rnacentral:lncRNA from 1 species
UGAGCUUUCCGCCGCCCCUCACCGAUCUUUGAUGUUUUUCCUCUAGAUCUUUCAAGUUUUUCACUUGUUUUAACUUCGUUUUGAAGAUUUGAGCUUUUGAGCAAAGUUUUGGAGCUUUGAGGUUCAAGAACUCAAAUCUCUUCUAACUCCAAGUUUGGUCGCCUCUACUCUCGAUCUUCAAGAGGUAAGAGUCGAUCUCUAGCUUAUGUUAUGUUUUAAGUAAGUUUUAUGAAGUUCAUGGGGGUAGAAUGCAUGUUUAGGUCAUAGUUAUGUUUAUGGGUUUUUGGUGUGAUUUUUGAACAAUGUGAGUUGUUUGUGUGUUGUAGUUGGG